UUUUAUUCGUGUAUUUCUUUUUACACAUUUAUGAAGUUUAAUAUAAAUAAUAAUAUAAUAUGCUUGAUAGGUUUAUACAAGAAAAAAGUAAAAAUCAUCGAUUAGAUUCUAUUAGAAUAUCGUAUACAUACAAACGAUCUAAAUAUAUUACAUAGGUAAUAAUAAUAUUAUCCAUAUCUAUACUAUUUGAGUAAAAAUGGAGUAUGUUAAAUAAGUAUAUAGGUAUA